AUGAACGCUGGCGGCGUGCUUAACCCAUGCAAGUCGAACGGUGAACACGGAGCUUGCUCUGUGGGAUCAGUGGCGAACGGGUGAGUAACACGUGAGCAACCUGCCCCUGACUCUGGGAUAAGCGCUGGAAACGGCGUCUAAUACUGGAUAUGUGACGUGACCGCAUGGUCUGCGUUUGGAAAGAUUUUUCGGUUGGGGAUGGGCUCGCGGCCUAUCAGCUUGUUGGUGAGGUAAUGGCUCACCAAGGCGUCGACGGGUAGCCGGCCUGAGAGGGUGACCGGCCACACUGGGACUGAGACACGGCCCAGACUCCUACGGGAGGCAGCAGUGGGGAAUAUUGCACAAUGGGCGCAAGCCUGAUGCAGCAACGCCGCGUGAGGGAUGACGGCCUUCGGGUUGUAAACCUCUUUUAGCAGGGAAGAAGCGAAAGUGACGGUACCUGCAGAAAAAGCGCCGGCUAACUACGUG
rnacentral:rRNA from 1 species